AAUAUAUGUAUGUGUGCAUGUACUAUGUGUGUGUGUGUAUAUAUACACACAUAGUAUAUAUACAGUACACACACACACAUACAUACACACAAACAUAUAUA
rnacentral:miRNA from 1 species